AAAAGUGAAGCAGAUAUUUGAAAUCUACAGAUGACUCUACCUCCAAUUCAGUCCUGCAGGUGAUGAGAACUCUGUAUGGGACACCCAUAUCAACAGCUGGUAGACGACGCAGGACUCCGGAGUAGAUGUGGCAUUCUGCCUUCAUAUUAUUCUCAAUACUGGUGUUUGAGUAACUCACAAAGAAGUUCAGAAGCCACUGCGCCAGCCACGGAGGUACACGGCUCAACUCUCCUUCCAGACAGAAGCUGCUGGGAGGAGCUCCAGCUACCACAGCAGUCAUUCUGAGGCUACGCCUUCCCCAGGCUGCUUCUAGCCAAUAACUCUGCACAGCAGGGAGACUGGAGGUGGGACAUUUCUGCCAACAUGGGACCCAUCGAAUGGCUCUCCUCUCUGGCUUGGCUAAAACAUUCUCAGAACUGUACUGUCAUCUGAGGCUCUUUGUACCCAUUCCUCCUUCCCUCUUCCUCUUUUUUUCCCAGGUGUCAGACUUACAUCAUGGCCUGGGGAUCUCACAGCCUUCACCUGCUUCCUCUCCUCUCUAUGUUUCACAGACAUUUCCCCAAUAAAUCUCAUAAAUCUCUUGUAUUUCUAAUUUUGUCUUGGAUUUGCUUCCUGGAUUACCCGGCCUGCUGCAGCUGCCAUUGUGCUAUUUUCUCUCCUUCUCCCCCGCCUCAAUUUUAUAAUGCAUAGUUUUAUAAAAAGAAAUAGCCUAUGCU
rnacentral:lncRNA from 10 species